rnacentral:pre_miRNA from 1 species
AUGUCGAAUGUGAGAAUUGGAGGAAACUAAAUAGAUUGCUAAUCCCAUUAUUCUGGUUUAAGCAAUAAGCACUUUCUAUUUAGUUUCCUCCAAUAUCUCAUCUCUGGCUU